rnacentral:tRNA from 1 species
GGAGGUACAGCUCAGUGGUAGAGCGCGUGCUUAGCAAGCACGAGGUCCUGGGUUCAGUCCCCAGUACUUCCC